GUUGUGUGGUGAUAUGUUACAGGUCCUUGAGGGAGAUGGAGGGAUAAAUAACUUUGUGUGGUGAUAUGUCACAGGUCCUUGAGGGAGAUGGAGGGAUAAAUAACUUUGUGUGGUGAUAUGUUACAGGUCCUUGAGGGAGAUGGAGGGAUAAAUAACGUUGUGUGGUGAUAUGUUACAGGUCCUUGAGGGAGAUGGAGGGAUAAAUAACGUUGUGUGGUGAUAUGUUACAGGUCCUUGAGGGAGAUGGAGUCUUAUGGCUUGGGGGUAAAAACUGUUGAGAAGUCUUUUUGUCCUAGACUUGGCGCUCCGGUUCUGCUUGCCAUGCGGUAGUAGAGAGAACAGUCUUUGACUGGGGUGGCUGGGGUCUUUGACAAUUUUUAGGGCUUUCCUCUGACACCGCCUGGUGUAGAGGUCCUGGAUGGCAG
ensembl:lncRNA